UUCCAGACUCCUACGGGAGGCAGCAGUGAGGAAUAUUGGUCAAUGGGCGGGAGCCUGAACCAGCCAAGUCGCGUGAGGGAAGAAGGUACUGAGUAUUGUAAACCUCUUUUGCCAGGGGACAAAGGCGGCCACGGGUGGCCGUAAGAGGGUACCUGGAGAAAAAGCAUCGGCUAACUCCGUGCCAGCAGCCGCGGUAAUACGGAGGAUGCGAGCGUUAUCCGGAUUUAUUGGGUUUAAAGGGUGCGUAGGCGGGCUUUUAAGUCGGCGGUAAAAGCCCGGGGCUCACCCCCGGCGAGCCGUUGAAACUGGCUGUCUUGAGAUGUCGAGAGGUAUGCGGAAUGCGCAGUGUAGCGGUGAAAUGCUUAGAUAUUGCGCAGAACUCCGAUUGCGAAGGCAGCAUACCGGCGGCGAUCUGACGCUGAGGCACGAAAGCGUGGGUAUCGAACAGGAUUAGAUACCCUGGUAGA
rnacentral:rRNA from 1 species